AAACCUUACCUACCCUUGACAUGUACGGAAGCCCACUGAGAGUUGGGCGUGCUUGAAAGAGAACCGUAACACAGGUGCUGCAUGGCUGUCGUCAGCUCGUGUCGUGAGAUGUUGGGUUAAGUCCCGCAACGAGCGCAACCCUUGUCAUUAAUUGCCAUCAUUUAGUUGGGCACUUUAAUGAGACUGCCGGUGACAAACCGGAGGAAGGUGGGGAUGACGUCAAGUCCUCAUGGCCCUUAUGGGUAGGGCGUCACACGUCAUACAAUGGCCGGUACAGAGGGUUGCCAACCCGCGAGGGGGAGCCAAUCCCAGAAAGCCGGUCGUAGUCCGGAUUGUUCUCUGCAACUCGAGAGCAUGAAGUCGGAAUCGCUAGUAAUCGCGGAUCAGCAUGUCGCGGUGAAUACGUUCCCGGGUCUUGUACACACCGCCCGUCACACCAUGGGAGUGGGUGAUACCAGAAGUAGGCAGUCUAACCGCAAGGAGG
rnacentral:rRNA from 1 species